UGGGGAAGUGCAAAGACCCUGAAGUGGAUGCAUAUCUGGUGCGUUCAAGUCACAACAAGGAGGCCAGGGUGAUUGGGAUGAGCUCAGAGAGCUGAAGGCCGCAGUGGGGCUGAUGGUGUAGAAGCCCCACGUAAAGAUUGCUGUAAAUUACGCCUGGCUGCACAGGAUUAUCUCAGGGAGGAGCCAAGAUUGAAGGACGUGUGAUUUUCAGGUGUGGAGGAGGAGCCAAGGACCCACCCUGUCCUGUCUCAUCCUGUCCUGCCCUAGCUCUCUUCACUUCUGAGUUUCUCAACCAUUCAGGUUUAUCCAGAGUCCUGCAUGCAACUGCUGUAACUCCAGCCUGAGAGAGAGGGGGUGUCUAGGAGCGGGUCAUGGCUCAUGCAGUGAACACCGUCGACACCUACCAUGUGCCAGGCACUGUGCAGGAAGGUGGGCUUUACCGGAGUGAACUUUGGAAGCAUCCAGGCUGAGAGAGAACUGGAUGCUCUCUGGAGCCUGCAUUUCGUUUCUCUGGCUGUUGUUGAGAAAAGGAGGGACCCAGCUCUGCACCUGGCCACUGCAAACCCCAUAAAGUUCACGGUAUGACUCUUCCAUGGACCAUAACCUCCUCCCAUCCCUAAUCCGGCCCAGGCAGGACUGAGUUGGAGGAUGCUGGAUCUGCCAGGAGAGGAGAAAGGGGAGGGGAGGAUUGUUUCAGGCUGUUAAUAGUCUCGAAAUAAAGCCUGAAGACAAGAUUGGAGUCUGUUUAUU
rnacentral:lncRNA from 1 species